rnacentral:rRNA from 1 species
AUGAACGCUAGCUACAGGCUUAACACAUGCAAGUCGAGGGGCAGCAUUUUAGUUUGCUUGCAAACUAAAGAUGGCGACCGGCGCACGGGUGAGUAACACGUAUCCAACCUGCCGAUAACUCGGGGAUAGCCUUUCGAAAGAAAGAUUAAUAUCCGAUAGUAUAUUAAAACCGCAUGGUUUUACUAUUAAAGAAUUUCGGUUAUCGAUGGGGAUGCGUUCCAUUAGUUUGUUGGCGGGGUAACGGCCCACCAAGACUACGAUGGAUAGGGGUUCUGAGAGGAAGGUCCCCCACAUUGGAACUGAGACACGGUCCAAACUCCUACGGGAGGCAGCAGUGAGGAAUAUUGGUCAAUGGACGAGAGUCUGAACCAGCCAAGUAGCGUGAAGGAUGACUGCCCUAUGGGUUGUAAACUUCUUUUAUAUGGGAAUAAAGUAUUCCACGUGUGGGAUUUUGUAUGUACCAUAUGAAUAAGGAUCGGCUAACUCCGUGCCAGCAGCCGCGGUAAUACGGAGGAUCCGAGCGUUAUCCGGAUUUAUUGGGUUUAAAGGGAGCGUAGGUGGAUUGUUAAGUCAGUUGUGAAAGUUUGCGGCUCAACCGUAAAAUUGCAGUUGAAACUGGCAGUCUUGAGUACAGUAGAGGUGGGCGGAAUUCGUGGUGUAGCGGUGAAAUGCUUAGAUAUCACGAAGAACUCCGAUUGCGAAGGCAGCUCACUAGACUGCAACUGACACUGAUGCUCGAAAGUGUGGGUAUCAAACAGGAUUAGAUACCCUGGUAGUCCAUGCCGUAAACGAUGAUUACUAGGUGUUGGAGGAUUGAUCCCUUCAGUGCCGCAGUUAACACAAUAAGUAAUCCACCUGGGGAGUACGACCGCAAGGUUGAAACUCAAAGGAAUUGACGGGGGCCCGCACAAGCAGUGGAUUAUGUGGUUUAAUUCGAAGCAACGCGAAGAACCUUACCAAGGCUUGACAUAUACAGGAAUAUAUAAGAGAUUAUAUAGCUCUUCGGAGUCUGUAUACAGGUGGUGCAUGGUUGUCGUCAGCUCGUGUCGUGAGAUGUUGGGUUAAGUCCCGCAACGAGCGCAACCCCUGUUUCUAGUUGCCAGCAUGUAAAGAUGGGAACUCUAGAAAGACUGCCGUAGAUAAUACGGAGGAAGGUGGGGAUGACGUCAAAUCAGCACGGCCCUUACGUCCGGGGCUACACACGUGUUACAAUGGGGGGUACAGAAGGCAGCUACCUGGCGACAGGAUGCUAAUCCCAAAAACCUCUCUCAGUUCGGAUCGAAGUCUGCAACCCGACUUCGUGAAGCUGGAUUCGCUAGUAAUCGCGCAUCAGCCACGGCGCGGUGAAUACGUUCCCGGGCCUUGUACACACCGCCCGUCACACCAUGAGAGUUGGGGAUACCCGAAGCCUGUGAGCCAACAGUUAAAUGGGGCAGCAGUCGAAGGUAGAAUCAAUGAUUGGGGUG